rnacentral:rRNA from 1 species
AGAGUUUGAUCCUGGCUCAGGCUUAUCGCGAGCUACGGGCUUAACACAUGCAAGUCGAACGGAUUCUGGAUUCGUCUGGAAUUAGUGGCAAACGGGUGAGUAACACGUAUCCAACCACCCUGCGACUCGGGGAUAGCCUCUUGAAAGGGAGAUUAAUAUCCGAUGUACUGUUUUUGGUGCAUGCCAUUUUCAGUAAAGUUUUUUACGGUCGCUGACGGGGAUGCGUUCCAUUAGAUAGUCGGUGUGGUAACGGCUCACCGAGUCUAUGAUGGAUAGGGGUUCUGAGAGGAAGGUCCCCCACAUUGGAACUGCGACACGGUCCAAACUCCUACGGGAGGCAGCAGUGAGGAAUAUUGGUCAAUGGGCGAAAGCCUGAACCAGCUAUGUAGCGUGAAGGAUGACUGCCCUAUGGGUUGUAAACUUCUUUUGUUCGGGAAUAACAGACUUCACUUGUGGAGUUUUGCAUGUACCGUUCGAAUAAGGAUCGGCUAACUCCGUGCCAGCAGCCGCGGUAAUACGGAGGAUCCUAGCGUUAUUCGGAUUUAUUGGGUUUAAAGGGAGCGUAGGCGGGGGGUCAAGUCAGCUGUGAAAUACGUACGCUUAACGUUCGUCUUGCAGUUGAAACUGGUUUUCUUGAGUGCGUAUGAGGCAGGCGGAAUUCGUGGUGUAGCCGUGAAAUGCUUAGAUAUCACGAAGGACCUCCUAUUGCGAAGGCAGCACACCUAGUUCUUAUUGACGCUGAGGCACGAAAGUGUGGGGGAUCAAACAGGAUUAGAUACCCCGGGUACUCCACACUGGAAA